rnacentral:misc_RNA from 1 species
GAUGAAGAACGUAGCUAAAUGCGAUAAGUAAUGUGAAUUGCAGAAUUCAGUGAAUCAUCGAAUCUUUGAACGCACAUUGCGCCCGCCAGUAUUCUGGCGGGCAUGCCUGUUCGAGCGUCAUUUCAACCAUCAAGCCCCCGGGCUUGUGUUGGGGACCUGCGGCUGCCGCAGGCCCUGAAAAGCAGUGGCGGGCUCGCUGUCACACCGAGCGUAGUAGAUUUUAUCUCGCUCUGGGCGUGCUGCGGGUUCCGGCCGUUAAACCACCCUUUUAACCCAAGGUUGACCUCGGAUCAGGUAGGAAGACCCGCUGAACUUAAGCAUAUCAAUAAGCGGAGGA